rnacentral:rRNA from 1 species
GGUUAAGCGACUAAGCGUACACGGUGGAUGCCCUGGCAGUCAGAGGCGAUGAAGGACGUGCUAAUCUGCGAAAAGCGACGGCGAGGUGAUAUGAACCCCUGACCCGUCGAUGUCCGAAUGGGGAAACCCAGUGCAAUCCGUUGCACUAUCGUUAACUGAAUACAUAGGUUAACGAGGCGAACCGGGGGAACUGAAACAUCUAAGUACCCCGAGGAAAAGAAAUCAACCGAGAUUCCCCCAGUAGCGGCGAGCGAACGGGGAGCAGCCCGGAGUCUGAAUCAGCUUGUGUGUUAGUGGAACGGUCUGGAAAGUCCGACGGUACAGGGUGAUAGUCCCGUACACGAAAGCACACAUGCUGUGAACUCGAAGAGUAGGGCGGGACACGUGGUAUCCUGUCUGAAUAUGGGGGGACCAUCCUCCAAGGCUAAAUACUCCUGACUGACCGAUAGUGAACCAGUACCGUGAGGGAAAGGCGAAAAGAACCCCGGCGAGGGGAGUGAAAAAGAACCUGAAACCGUGUACGUACAAGCAGUGGGAGCCUCUUUUAUGGGGUGACUGCGUACCUUUUGUAUAAUGGGUCAGCGACUUAUAUUCUGUAGCAAGGUUAACCGUAUAGGGGAGCCGAAGGGAAACCGAGUCUUAACUGGGCGUUAAGUUGCAGGGUAUAGACCCGAAACCCGGUGAUCUAGCCAUGGGCAGGUUGAAGGUUGGGUAACACUAACUGGAGGACCGAACCGACUAAUGUUGAAAAAUUAGCGGAUGACCUGUGGCUGGGGGUGAAAGGCCAAUCAAACCGGGAGAUAGCUGGUUCUCCCCGAAAGCUAUUUAGGUAGCGCCUCGUGAACUCAUCUUCGGGGGUAGAGCACUGUUUCGGCUAGGGGGCCAUCCCGGCUUACCAACCCGAUGCAAACUACGAAUACCGAAGAAUGUUAUCACGGGAGACACACGGCGGGUGCUAACGUCCGUCGUGAAGAGGGAAACAACCCAGACCGCCAGCUAAGGUCCCAAAGUCAUGGUUAAGUGGGAAACGAUGUGGGAAGGCACAGACAGCCAGGAUGUUGGCUUAGAAGCAGCCAUCAUUUAAAGAAAGCGUAAUAGCUCACUGGUCGAGUCGGCCUGCGCGGAAGAUGUAACGGGGCUAAACCAUGCACCGAAGCUGCGGCAGCGACACUAUGUGUUGUUGGGUAGGGGAGCGUUCUGUAAGCCGUCGAAGGUGUGCCGUGAGGCAUGCUGGAGGUAUCAGAAGUGCGAAUGCUGACAUAAGUAACGAUAAAGCGGGUGAAAAGCCCGCUCGCCGGAAGACCAAGGGUUCCUGUCCAACGUUAAUCGGGGCAGGGUGAGUCGACCCCUAAGGCGAGGCCGAAAGGCGUAGUCGAUGGGAAACAGGUUAAUAUUCCUGUACUUGGUGUUACUGCGAAGGGGGGACGGAGAAGGCUAUGUUAGCCGGGCGACGGUUGUCCCGGUUUAAGCAUGUAGGCGGAGGUUCCAGGUAAAUCCGGUACCUUUUUAACGCUGAGGUGUGAUGACGAGGCACUACGGUGCUGAAGUAACAAAUGCCCUGCUUCCAGGAAAAGCCUCUAAGCAUCAGGUAACACGAAAUCGUACCCCAAACCGACACAGGUGGUCAGGUAGAGAAUACCAAGGCGCUUGAGAGAACUCGGGUGAAGGAACUAGGCAAAAUGGUGCCGUAACUUCGGGAGAAGGCACGCUGAUAUGUAGGUGAAGUCCCUGCGGAUGGAGCUGAAAUCAGUCGAAGAUACCAGCUGGCUGCAACUGUUUAUUAAAAACACAGCACUGUGCAAACACGAAAGUGGACGUAUACGGUGUGACGCCUGCCCGGUGCCGGAAGGUUAAUUGAUGGGGUUAGCGGCAACGCGAAGCUCUUGAUCGAAGCCCCGGUAAACGGCGGCCGUAACUAUAACGGUCCUAAGGUAGCGAAAUUCCUUGUCGGGUAAGUUCCGACCUGCACGAAUGGCGUAAUGAUGGCCAGGCUGUCUCCACCCGAGACUCAGUGAAAUUGAACUCGCUGUGAAGAUGCAGUGUACCCGCGGCAAGACGGAAAGACCCCGUGAACCUUUACUAUAGCUUGACACUGAACACUGGUCCUUGAUGUGUAGGAUAGGUGGGAGGCUUUGAAGCGUGGACGCCAGUCUGCGUGGAGCCGUCCUUGAAAUACCACCCUUUAAUGGCUGGUGUUCUAACGUUGACCCGUUACCCGGGUUGCGGACAGUGUCUGGUGGGUAGUUUGACUGGGGCGGUCUCCUCCCAAAGAGUAACGGAGGAGCACGAAGGUUAGCUAAUCCUGGUCGGACAUCAGGAGGUUAGUGCAAUGGCAUAAGCUAGCUUGACUGCGAGAGUGACGGCUCGAGCAGGUGCGAAAGCAGGUCAUAGUGAUCCGGUGGUUCUGAAUGGAAGGGCCAUCGCUCAACGGAUAAAAGGUACUCCGGGGAUAACAGGCUGAUACCGCCCAAGAGUUCAUAUCGACGGCGGUGUUUGGCACCUCGAUGUCGGCUCAUCACAUCCUGGGGCUGAAGUAGGUCCCAAGGGUAUGGCUGUUCGCCAUUUAAAGUGGUACGCGAGCUGGGUUUAGAACGUCGUGAGACAGUUCGGUCCCUAUCUGCCGUGGGCGCUGGAGAAUUGAGGGGGGCUGCUCCUAGUACGAGAGGACCGGAGUGGACGCAUCACUGGUGUUCGGGUUGUCAUGCCAAUGGCACUGCCCGGUAGCUAAAUGCGGAAGAGAUAAGUGCUGAAAGCAUCUAAGCACGAAACUUGCCCCGAGAUGAGUUCUCCCUGAGACUUUAAGUCUCCUGAAGGAACGUUGAAGACGACGACGUUGAUAGGUCGGGUGUGUAAGCGCAGCGAUGCGUUGAGCUAACCGAUACUAAUGAACCGUGAGGCUUAACCUU